rnacentral:rRNA from 1 species
UUAAGCGACUAAGCGUACACGGUGGAUGCCCUGGCAGUCAGAGGCGAUGAAGGACGUGCUAAUCUGCGAUAAGCGUCGGUGAGGUGAUAUGAACCGUUAUAACCGGCGAUUUCCGAAUGGGGAAACCCAGUGUGUUUCGACACACUAUCAUUAACUGAAUCCAUAGGUUAAUGAGGCGAACCGGGGGAACUGAAACAUCUAAGUACCCCGAGGAAAAGAAAUCAACCGAGAUUCCCCCAGUAGCGGCGAGCGAACGGGGAGGAGCCCAGAGCCUGAAUCAGUGUGUGUGUUAGUGGAAGCGUCUGGAAAGGCGCGCGAUACAGGGUGACAGCCCCGUACACAAAAAUGCACAUAUUGUGAGCUCGAUGAGUAGGGCGGGACACGUGGUAUCCUGUCUGAAUAUGGGGGGACCAUCCUCCAAGGCUAAAUACUCCUGACUGACCGAUAGUGAACCAGUACCGUGAGGGAAAGGCGAAAAGAACCCCGGCGAGGGGAGUGAAAAAGAACCUGAAACCGUGUACGUACAAGCAGUGGGAGCCUCUUAAUGGGGUGACUGCGUACCUUUUGUAUAAUGGGUCAGCGACUUAUAUUCUGUAGCAAGGUUAACCGAAUAGGGGAGCCGAAGGGAAACCGAGUCUUAACUGGGCGUUAAGUUGCAGGGUAUAGACCCGAAACCCGGUGAUCUAGCCAUGGGCAGGUUGAAGGUUGGGUAACACUAACUGGAGGACCGAACCGACUAAUGUUGAAAAAUUAGCGGAUGACUUGUGGCUGGGGGGGAAAGGCCAAUCAAACCGGGAGAUAGCUGGUUCUCCCCGAAAGCUAUUUAGGUAGCGCCUCGUGAAUUCAUCUCCGGGGGUAGAGCACUGUUUCGGCAAGGGGGUCAUCCCGACUUACCAACCCGAUGCAAACUGCGAAUACCGGAGAAUGUUAUCACGGGAGACACACGGCGGGUGCUAACGUCCGUCGUGAAGAGGGAAACAACCCAGACCGCCAGCUAAGGUCCCAAAGUCAUGGUUAAGUGGGAAACGAUGUGGGAAGGCCCAGACAGCCAGGAUGUUGGCUUAGAAGCAGCCAUCAUUUAAAGAAAGCGUAAUAGCUCACUGGUCGAGUCGGCCUGCGCGGAAGAUGUAACGGGGCUAAACCAUGCACCGAAGCUGCGGCAGCGACGCUUAUGCGUUGUUGGGUAGGGGAGCGUUCUGUAAGCCUGUGAAGGUGGCCUGUGAGGGUUGCUGGAGGUAUCAGAAGUGCGAAUGCUGACAUAAGUAACGAUAAAGCGGGUGAAAAGCCCGCUCGCCGGAAGACCAAGGGUUCCUGUCCAACGUUAAUCGGGGCAGGGUGAGUCGACCCCUAAGGCGAGGCCGAAAGGCGUAGUCGAUGGGAAACAGGUUAAUAUUCCUGUACUUGGUGUUACUGCGAAGGGGGGACGGAGAAGGCUAUGUUGGCCGGGCGACGGUUGUCCCGGUUUAAGCGUGUAGGCUGGUUUUCCAGGCAAAUCCGGAAAACCAAGGCUGAGGCGUGAUGACGAGGCACUACGGUGCUGAAGCGACAAAUGCCCUGCUUCCAGGAAAAGCCUCUAAGCAUCAGGUAACAUCAAAUCGUACCCCAAACCGACACAGGUGGUCAGGUAGAGAAUACCAAGGCGCUUGAGAGAACUCGGGUGAAGGAACUAGGCAAAAUGGUGCCGUAACUUCGGGAGAAGGCACGCUGAUAUGUAGGUGAAGUCCCUUGCGGAUGGAGCUGAAAUCAGUCGAAGAUACCAGCUGGCUGCAACUGUUUAUUAAAAACACAGCACUGUGCAAACACGAAAGUGGACGUAUACGGUGUGACGCCUGCCCGGUGCCGGAAGGUUAAUUGAUGGGGUUAGCGGUAACGCGAAGCUCUUGAUCGAAGCCCCGGUAAACGGCGGCCGUAACUAUAACGGUCCUAAGGUAGCGAAAUUCCUUGUCGGGUAAGUUCCGACCUGCACGAAUGGCGUAAUGAUGGCCAGGCUGUCUCCACCCGAGACUCAGUGAAAUUGAACUCGCUGUGAAGAUGCAGUGUACCCGCGGCAAGACGGAAAGACCCCGUGAACCUUUACUAUAGCUUGACACUGAACAUUGAGCCUUGAUGUGUAGGAUAGGUGGGAGGCUUUGAAGUGUGGACGCCAGUCUGCAUGGAGCCGACCUUGAAAUACCACCCUUUAAUGUUUGAUGUUCUAACGUUGGCCCGUAAUCCGGGUUGCGGACAGUGUCUGGUGGGUAGUUUGACUGGGGCGGUCUCCUCCUAAAGAGUAACGGAGGAGCACGAAGGUUGGCUAAUCCUGGUCGGACAUCAGGAGGUUAGUGCAAUGGCAUAAGCCAGCUUGACUGCGAGCGUGACGGCGCGAGCAGGUGCGAAAGCAGGUCAUAGUGAUCCGGUGGUUCUGAAUGGAAGGGCCAUCGCUCAACGGAUAAAAGGUACUCCGGGGAUAACAGGCUGAUACCGCCCAAGAGUUCAUAUCGACGGCGGUGUUUGGCACCUCGAUGUCGGCUCAUCACAUCCUGGGGCUGAAGUAGGUCCCAAGGGUAUGGCUGUUCGCCAUUUAAAGUGGUACGCGAGCUGGGUUUAGAACGUCGUGAGACAGUUCGGUCCCUAUCUGCCGUGGGCGCUGGAGAACUGAGGGGGGCUGCUCCUAGUACGAGAGGACCGGAGUGGACGCAUCACUGGUGUUCGGGUUGUCAUGCCAAUGGCACUGCCCGGUAGCUAAAUGCGGAAGAGAUAAGUGCUGAAAGCAUCUAAGCACGAAACUUGCCCCGAGAUGAGUUCUCCCUGAGACUUAGAGUCUCCUGAAGGAACGUUGAAGACGACGACGUUGAUAGGCCGGGUGUGUAAGCGCAGCGAUGCGUUGAGCUAACCGGUACUAAUGAACCGUGAGGCUUAACCUU